rnacentral:rRNA from 1 species
GAUGAACGCUGGCGGCGUGCCUAAUACAAGCAAGUCGAGCGAACAGACGAGGAGCUUGCUCCUUUGACGUUAGCGGCGGACGGGUGAGUAACACGUGGGUAACCUACCUAUAAGACUGGGAUAACUUCGGGAAACCGGAGCUAAUACCGGAUAAUAUUUCGAACCGCAUGGUUCGAUAGUGAAAGAUGGCUUUGCUAUCACUUAUAGAUGGACCUGCGCCGUAUUAGCUAGUUGGUAAGGUAACGGCUUACCAAGGCAACGAUACGUAGCCGACCUGAGAGGGUGAUCGGCCACACUGGAACUGAGACACGGUCCAGACUCCUACGGGAGGCAGCAGUAGGGAAUCUUCCGCAAUGGGCGAAAGCCUGACGGAGCAACGCCGCGUGAGUGAUGAAGGUCUUCGGAUCGUAAAACUCUGUUAUUAGGGAAGAAUAAACGUGUAAGUAACUGUGCACGUCUUGACGGUACCUAAUCAGAAAGCCACGGCUAACUACGUG